rnacentral:rRNA from 1 species
AUAUCAAUAAGCGGAGGAAAAGAAACCAACAGGGAUUGCCCCAGUAACGGCGAGUGAAGCGGCAUCAGCUCAGAUUUGAAAUCCGGUCCUUGGACCCGAGUUGUAAUCUGUAGGGGUAGCUUCGGGCGCGGCGUCUUCUGAGUCCCCUGGAACGGGGCGCCAUAGAGGGUGAGAGCCCGUACGGUCGACCGCCAAGCCCAUGUGAAGCUCCUUCGACGAGUCGAGUAGUUUGGGAAUGCUGCUCAAAAUGGGAGGUAAAUUUCUUCUAAAGCUAAAUACCGGCCAGAGACCGAUAGCGCACAAGUA